rnacentral:rRNA from 1 species
UACGUAGGGUGCAAACGUUGCUCGGAAUUACUGGGCGUAAAGCGCGUGUAGGUGGAUUGGUGUGUCAGAUGUGAAAGCCCUGGGCUCAACCCAGGAACUGCACCUGAAACUACCAGUCUUGAGUGGUGGAGAGGGAAGUGGAAUUCCUGGUGUAGAGGUGAAAUUCGUAGAUAUCAGGAGGAACACCAGUGGCGAAGGCGGCUUCCUGGACACUAACUGACGCUGAGACGCGAAAGCGUGGGGAGCAAACAGG